UACAGAGGUGGCAAGCGUUGUUCGGAAUUACUGGGCGUAAAGGGCGUGUAGGCGGUCAGGUAAGUGGAAUGUGAAAUCCCUCGGCUCACCCGAGGACCUGCAUCCCAAACUGCCUGGCUUGAGUAUGGGAGAGGAUGAGGGAAUUCCUGGUGUAGCGGUGAAAUGCGUAGAUAUCGUAAGGAAGACCAGUGGCGAAGGCGGGUCUCUGGACAGUUCCUGACGCUGAGGCACGAAGGCCAGGGGAGCAAACGGG
rnacentral:rRNA from 1 species